rnacentral:rRNA from 1 species
GGAAAGGCGCGCGAUACAGGGUGACAGCCCCGUACACAAAAAUGCACAUGCUGUGAGCUCGAUGAGUAGGGCGGGACACGUGGUAUCCUGUCUGAAUAUGGGGGGACCAUCCUCCAAGGCUAAAUACUCCUGACUGACCGAUAGUGAACCAGUACCGUGAGGGAAAGGCGAAAAGAACCCCGGCGAGGGGAGUGAAAAAGAACCUGAAACCGUGUACGUACAAGCAGUGGGAGCACGCUUAGGCGUGUGACUGCGUACCUUUUGUAUAAUGGGUCAGCGACUUAUAUUCUGUAGCAAGGUUAACCGAAUAGGGGAGCCGAAGGGAAACCGAGUCUUAACUGGGCGUUAAGUUGCAGGGUAUAGACCCGAAACCCGGUGAUCUAGCCAUGGGCAGGUUGAAGGUUGGGUAACACUAACUGGAGGACCGAACCGACUAAUGUUGAAAAAUUAGCGGAUGACUUGUGGCUGGGGGUGAAAGGCCAAUCAAACCGGGAGAUAGCUGGUUCUCCCCGAAAGCUAUUUAGGUAGCGCCUCGUGAAUUCAUCUCCGGGGGUAGAGCACUGUUUCGGCAAGGGGGUCAUCCCGACUUACCAACCCGAUGCAAACUGCGAAUACCGGAGAAUGUUAUCACGGGAGACACACGGCGGGUGCUAACGUCCGUCGUGAAGAGGGAAACAACCCAGACCGCCAGCUAAGGUCCCAAAGUCAUGGUUAAGUGGGAAACGAUGUGGGAAGGCCCAGACAGCCAGGAUGUUGGCUUAGAAGCAGCCAUCAUUUAAAGAAAGCGUAAUAGCUCACUGGUCGAGUCGGCCUGCGCGGAAGAUGUAACGGGGCUAAACCAUGCACCGAAGCUGCGGCAGCGACGCUGAUGCGUUGUUGGGUAGGGGAGCGUUCUGUAAGCCUGC